AUAACCUUCGGACUGGCGGUCUAUCGAGCCACUUGACCUGCUCAGUGGAAGAUCUUCCCUUUGUCGU
rnacentral:pre_miRNA from 1 species